rnacentral:rRNA from 1 species
CCUACGGGAGGCAGCAGUGGGGGAAUUUUUGGACAAUGGGCGCAAGCCUGAUCCAGCCAUGCCGCGUGUGGGAAGAAGGCCUUCGGGUUGUAAACCACUUUUGUCAGGGAAGAAACGGUCUGAACUAAUACUUUGGACUAAUGACGGUACCUGAAGAAUAAGCACCGGCUAACUACGUGCCAGCAGCCGCGGUAAUACGUAGGGUGCAAGCGUUAAUCGGAAUUACUGGGCGUAAAGCGUGCGCAGGCGGCUUUGCAAGACAGAUGUGAAAUCCCCGGGCUCAACCUGGGAACUGCAUUUGUGACUGCAUGGCUAGAGUACGGUAGAGGGGGAUGGAAUUCCGCGUGUAGCAGUGAAAUGCGUAGAUAUGCGGAGGAACACCGAUGGCGAAGGCAAUCCCCUGGACCUGUACUGACGCUCAUGCACGAAAGCGUGGGGAGCAAACAGGAUUAGAUACCCUGGUAGUCCACGCCCUAAACGAUGUCAACUGUGUUGGAGGGUUUCUUNUCAGUACGAAGCUAAGCGUGAAGUUGACCGCCUGGGAGUGGCCGCAAGUUGAAACUCAAAGGAAUUGACCGGNGNGNGAGNGCGAGCGACGACGAGGAGAGG